CGUAGGUGUGUGUUCCACACUACCCUCGGCGUCGAAUUAUAAUGAACGGCCCGGCCCGGCCCGUCUUGGGUGUGAGCAGUCAGACGGAUGAAUGGAAUUCCUCGAGGCUGUGCACACAUUUAAUUUGAAUACGAAACAGAUGAAUAGCGCCACGAUUAAUAAACGGGAAUAGCCCUUGCCGGGUUCACUAAUAAAUUCACGUUUUUCCGCCAUCGAUAUUGGAAACGGUUCGACCUUAUGGCUGCAAUUUCUGUACCUGCUGCACCGUCUGCAUCGGAGGCCCCGUACAAUAUACGUCGC